rnacentral:lncRNA from 1 species
CUCAACCACUAAGUAAAAUAAAAAUAACAACUGUUUCUUUUUCAAAACAGGUUCAGCUGCUAGAAAACCAACCAAUCAAUCCUUGGGGCAGGGCAUGAAAGGAACAAUGUACCCUCAUGGUUGGAAGAAACUAGAGUCAGGUGCAAUCACUAAUUCCCUACAUGGAGGAGAAGGACUUCUGCAGCCCAUUGCUGCAGUAAGAGCUGGCUGCUGUCAAGAUCAGUGUAAGCCCUGCAUCUUAUGUUCUUGUUUUCAAGCUCAGGUCUUCAACCAUGUGGUUUUGGUGUGUUUUUUUUUUGUUUUUGUUUUUUUUGUUUUUUUUGUUUUUGUUUUUUUUUUUCAAUGAAAAUAGAGAUUCCAUGUUCAAAAAGCUGGGAACAAGUGAAAAGCAAGAAAGUGCAGCAGCUGGAAGGU